rnacentral:rRNA from 1 species
CGUACGAUACGAGUUUGACAUGGCUCAGAACGAACGCUGGCGGCAGGCCUAACACAUGCAAGUCGAGCGAACCCUUCGGGGUUAGCGGCGGACGGGUGAGUAACGCGUGGGAACGUGCCCUUUGCUACGGAAUAGCCCCGGGAAACUGGGAGUAAUACCGUAUGUGCCCCUUCGGGGGGAAAGAUUUAUCGGCAAAGGAUCGGCCCGCGUUGGAUUAGGUAGUUGGUGGGGUAAUGGCCUACCAAGCCGACGAUCCAUAGCUGGUUUGAGAGGAUGAUCAGCCACACUGGGACUGAGACACGGCCCAGACUCCUACGGGAGGCAGCAGUGGGGAAUCUUAGACAAUGGGCGCAAGCCUGAUCUAGCCAUGCCGCGUGAUCGAUGAAGGCCUUAGGGUUGUAAAGAUCUUUCAGUGGGGAAGAUAAUGACUGUACCCACAGAAGAAGCCCCGGCUAACUCCGUG